GAUGAACGCUAGCGACAGGCUUAACACAUGCAAGUCGAGGGGCAGCGGGAUGUAGCAAUACAUUGCCGGCGACCGGCGCACGGGUGAGUAACGCGUAUGCAACUUGCCUAUCAGAGGGGAAUAGCCCAUCGAAAGAUGGAUUAAUGCCCCAUAAAACAGGGGUCCCGCAUGGGAAUAUUUGUUAAAGAUUCAUCGCUGAUAGAUAGGCAUGCGUUCCAUUAGGCAGUUGGCGGGGUAACGGCCCACCAAACCGACGAUGGAUAGGGGUUCUGAGAGGAAGGUCCCCCACAUUGGUACUGAGACACGGACCAAACUCCUACGGGAGGCAGCAGUGAGGAAUAUUGGUCAAUGGCCGGGAGGCUGAACCAGCCAAGUCGCGUGAAGGAAGAAGGAUCUAUGGUUUGUAAACUUCUUUUAUACGGGAAUAAAGUGUGGAACGUGUUCCAUUUUGUAUGUACCGUAUGAAUAAGCAUCGGCUAACUCCGUGCCAGCAGCCGCGGUAA
rnacentral:rRNA from 1 species